AGCAGCCGCGGUAAUUCCAGCUCCAAUAGCGUAUAUUAAAGUUGUUGCAGUUAAAAAGCUCGUAGUUGAAUUUCGGGACUAAUAUGUCGGUCGUACUUUGUACGUACUAGCAUUAUUGGUUUCUCCCUUCUGACGAACCACGAUGUCAUUAAUUUGGUGUCUUGGGAAAUCAGGACUGUUACUUUGAAAAAAUUAGAGUGUUUAAAGCAAGCUCGCGCUUGAAUACAUUAGCAUGGAAUAAUGAAAUAGGACGUUUGAUUCUAUUUUGUUGGUUUCUAGGAUCGACGUAAUGAUUAAUAGGGAUAGUUGGGGGCAUUAGUAUUCAAUUGUCAGAGGUGAAAUUCUUGGAUUUAUUGAAGACUAACUACUGCGAAAGCAUUUGCCAAGGAUGUUUUCAUUAAUCAAGAACGAAAGUUAGGGGAUCGAAGACGAUCAGAUACCGUCGUAGUCUUAACCAUAGACUAUGCCGACUAGGGAUCGGAUGAUGUUAAUUUUUAAUGACUCAU
rnacentral:rRNA from 1 species